rnacentral:rRNA from 1 species
AGCAGCCGCGGUAAUUCCAGCUCCAAUAGCGUAUAUUAAAGUUGUUGCAGUUAAAAAGCUCGUAGUUGAAUUUCGGGAUCAAUGUUUCGGUCAUGCCCUUGGUAUGUACUGAUAUUAUUGGUUUCUCACCUUCUAAAGAACCGUAAUGCCAUUAAUUUGGUGUCACGGGGAAUUAGGACUGUUACCUUGAAAAAAUUAGAGUGUUUAAAGCAGGCUCACGCUUGAAUACAUUAGCAUGGAAUAAUGAAAUAGGACAUCCGAUUCUAUUUUGUUGGUUUCUAGGAUCGAUGUAAUGAUUAAUAGGGAUAGUUGGGGGCAUUAGUAUUCAAUUGUCAGAGGUGAAAUUCUUGGAUUUAUUGAAGACUAACUACUGCGAAAGCAUUUGCCAAGGAUGUUUUCAUUAAUCAAGAACGAAAGUUAGGGGAUCGAAGACGAUCAGAUACCGUCGUAGUCUUAACCAUAAACUAUGCCGACUAGGGAUCGGAUGAUGUUAAUGUUUUAAUGACUCA